rnacentral:antisense_RNA from 1 species
AAAGGAAAAUUAAGGAAGUUUUUCAAAGAACCCUAUUCCGAGUAAGAAAUGUGUUGCAUGAAUUUCUAAGGUCUCUGAAAAGCAACUUAUUCACUGGAGAUGUGAGGAGCCAUCCACACAUCACAAUUCUAUAGACAUCAAACGCAUGAAGCAUUUCGGAUCUGCUUUAAGACUGAGGCAGACUUUCCAUCUGGACACAGCCGACCAUCCAUGUGUCAUUACAAUGAAUCCAGCACUUCCCUGGAAGCUGGAAGGGUCAAAUUCAACUUCAGCUCUGCCACUUGCUGCUUAACUUGCUGUUUAACCUUGGGCAAGCUGCCAUCCCACACGAGGCCGAAGGUGUCGGUUUUUAAAAUACAGAAAUUGGGUUCCAUGAGGGAUUAUCAAUAUACUGCUGGUGGGCCAAAUUCCAUCUGCUACUUGCCUUUGUAAAUAAAGUUUUAUUGAAACACAAA